rnacentral:misc_RNA from 1 species
AAUUCUCAACCUUGCAAGCUUUUUUUUUUUGCUAGCGAGGCUUGGAUGUGAGGGCUUUUGCUGGCUUCCUUCAUUGGAUGGUCUGCUCCCUUUAAAUUCAUUAGUGGGAUCCUUUGUGGAUGGUCACUUGGUGUGAUAAUUAUCUACGCCGCCUGACUCUGAAACAAGACUUGUGGGGACCUGCUCAUAACCGUCUCUUUAAGGGACAAUCUAUAUUGACA